UUCAUUCACUACUGUAAGUCACUCUGGAUAAGAGCGUCUGCUAAAUUACUAAAA
rfam:Salmo salar isolate Sally breed double haploid chromosome ssa02, whole genome shotgun sequence.